CCUACGGGAGGCAGCAGUGGGGAAUAUUGCACAAUGGGCGCAAGCCUGAUGCAGCGACGCCGCGUGAGGGAUGACGGCCUUCGGGUUGUAAACCUCUUUCAGUAGGGAAGAAGCGAAAGUGACGGUACCUGCAGAAGAAGCGUCGGCUAACUACGUGCCAGCAGCCGCGGUAAUACGUAGGGCGCAAGCGUUAUCCGGAAUUAUUGGGCGUAAAGAGCUCGUAGGCGGUUUGUCGCGUCUGCCGUGAAAGUCCGGGGCUCAACUCCGGAUCUGCGGUGGGUACGGGCAGACUAGAGUGAUGUAGGGGAGACUGGAAUUCCUGGUGUAGCGGUGAAAUGCGCAGAUAUCAGGAGGAACACCGAUGGCGAAGGCAGGUCUCUGGGCAUUAACUGACGCUGAGGAGCGAAAGCAUGGGGAGCGAGCAGGAUUAGAUACCCUGGUAGUCCAUGCCGUAAACGUUGGGCACUAGGUGUGGGGGACAUUCCACGUUUUCCGUACCGUAGCUAACGCAUUAAGUGCCCCGCCUGGGGNGGUACGGCGCGAGACGAACUACAANAGAUAGAGCGNGNGAGNGCGACGACGACGACGAGGGAGGAGG
rnacentral:rRNA from 1 species